CUCCAAACUGGUAAGCUGGAGUUGUACCACAGAGAUUUAUCUCUUGCAGUUUAUCUCUUAGCAUUGGGUUCCUGUCUAUGAAGAGCUGAUGAUCCCCUGAGCUGUUGAGUCGCCAAAGCACCUCGCCCAGGACCAGGCUCUCCCUCCCUCAUGGCCGGAGUGGAAAAGCACGUUUAAAUCCCGAACUCGGCUUCCCCACGUGGUGUCUCGCUGAGCUGCUGUCACAGCCACGCCGCGCUCUCACGGGGCACCGGAGCUUCUCCUCUGCCCUGCCGGGAAGGCACAAGGAGGCAGCCUUCAUCGAGUGAAUAGAGCAAAUCUUGGCAAAAGGAGCACCGAAGGAUGUGAACCCCUUGGAAAAUUCCACUUCCUGCCCAGCACUGCGUGUCCUUGGGUCUCUCACUCAUUCCCAUGCACUUAACGAGGGAUUUCUGCCUCAGGCUACCACACCAACUUUCUAAAUAAA